AUGUUUAUCCUUUCUUUAUUCUUCCUUUGGCAUUACAGACAUAACAACGCCAGGGACUGUACAUGGAUUGUUUCUUUUGAUUCCUUUCCAAGACCACUGGUUUCCUUCCCAGGACUUCAGUCUUGGUGUACCUCUAAGCAACAAGAGUGGGAAUUGGACAUCACUUUGGAAUCUACUUUUGGAUCCUCUAACCUAAGAGAGACGCAGGUACCUUGGAGGAUCCUGUCUCAGGUCAUCCAGUACAGGGAGUAACAGGAGUGCUCAUUCUUUCUCAACAUCAGCAAACCCAGGUCUCCAAAUGCAAGGCAAGCUCCCCUUCAGCUGCACUAAGGUGAGCAGACGUUCCUCUCUGACGGAAAACUAUCACAGUUCACAUUCUCUCCCUCAGUGAAGCAUCUCAGACCACUCUCCUUUGUUUCCACACUGUAUCCCAAUGGGCAGCAUCCCUGAGCCACUUAAUAAACACGGGGUGCAUUCAAAACUACCGAUUUUA
rnacentral:lncRNA from 1 species